rnacentral:rRNA from 1 species
UUUAUUGAGAGUUUGAUCCUAGCUCAGGAUGAACGCUGGCGGCGUGGAUAAGGCAUGCAAGUCGAGUGGGUUUAGGCCCACGGCAAACGGGUUAGUAAUGCAUAGGAAUUUUCCCUGAAGUCGUGAAUAAUCUGGAGAAAUCCAGGAUAAUACACGAUGUGCUCUACGGAGUAAAGAUUUAUCGCUUCAGGAGAAGCCUAUGUCCUAUCAGCUAGUUGGGAGUGUAAUGGACUACCAAGGCUAUGACGG